rnacentral:rRNA from 1 species
CCAAUAGCGUAUAUUAAAGUUGUUGCAGUUAAAAAGCUCGUAGUUGAAUUUCGGGGUUCUACCGUUGGUCGGGCUACCAAGUCUGUACUGGCGUGUAGAAUUUCUACCUUCUGGGGAACUAUCAUGUUAUUAAGUUAACGUGGUAGGAAACCAGGACUUUUACCUUGAAAAAAUUAGAGUGUUCAAAGCAGGCUUACGUCUGAAUACAUUAGCAUGGAAUAAUAGAAUAGGACGGUGGUCCUGUUUUGUUGGUUUCUGAAUCACCGUAAUGAUUAAUAGGGAUAGUUGGGGGCAUUAGUAUUCAAUUGUCAGAGGUGAAAUUCUUGGAUUUAUUGAAGACUAACUACUGCGAAAGCAUUUGCCAAGGAUGUUUUCAUUAAUCAAGAACGAAAGUUAGGGGAUCGAAGACGAUCAGAUACCGUCGUAGUCUUAACCAUAAACUAUGCCGACUAGGGAUCGGACGAUGUUAUUUUCUGACUCGUUCGGCGCCUUACG